UUUAAUAGAAUAUCAUUGUGUAUGUUUGGUUUAGUCUGUUCUUUGUAUUCAUGCUCUCUUCUCUUUUGUUCUGUUUGGUUUAGUUCAUGAUUUAUAGUAUAGUAAGCAUAGUUGUUUCUUUGGUUAAAUGUAUACGCUCAUUGAUUUGUUCUUCUCUUGAGUGUUUUUUUAUUUUGGUUCAUUAUUCUAUUUUGGCUGACCUUAUUAGUUGGAAUUUGUUUGUGGAAAGGUAGUUUGUGUUUGUUCUUUGAUUUCGAUUUCUUAUCUUUGGAUCUUUGGGUAAAUAUAUACGCUUAUUGAUUUGUUCUUUUCCUGAAUGCCUUUUCUUUUGGUUCAUUAUUUCCAUCAUUGGCUGAUUGGAUUAGUUUGAGUGUUGCUGGAAGGCAACCUGUGCUUAUGCCUUGAUUUUUUCUAAUUUUGUUCAGUCUGACCCUGUUUUGAUUUUUGUAAUCUGCUUUGGUUAGACCAUUGUUGCUGCAUAAUUGUAGUCAUUUUGGAUUUUAGUCAAUUAAUUCAAAGCUUUUAGAAUGAUUUGGGUCCUUCGGUUCAGACUUUAGGGCGUUUUGUGUAGUUGAGUUAGGACUGGUAAGUUAGUUAGGGUAGAGAUGGGCUAGGGUUAGUAAUUUUAGGAACAAUUCAAGGGUAAUCUGGGCAGUUUAACAAGGAAUUUUUGGCAGCUGAAUUAAGAAGCUUUCAGAAUUGGGAACAAAUUGAAAUUUAGAUUUCUAUUUUUUGGUAACUUGGGUAGCAAGCUAGAAAAUGAGGGACUAAGGUAGUAAAUAAAAUAAGGACUAAGAGGCAACUUAAAAUCUGAAGGUAGCCCUAUAUAUAUACUAGCACUCUUGCCUUUGAAGGUAAGAAAGAGGGAGCUGAAUGAAAAUCAGAGGGUUGCUACAUAACUCAAUCUAUUUUCUGAGCUUAAAACUUCAAAAUUUUGAUCUAAAACCAGUUCUGGUUUCUUCUUCUUAUCAUGGACUAAAGGCUAACUGUUGGAUUCAUGUUUGGGUGAAGUUCAAAUUAGUUUGGCUAUUUGAAAUUAGUAUUAGUUGUGCGAGUUGCAUCUUCUGGUCUUUUGAAAGUACUGAAUCUACUGUUCCAUUGAUUUGGGGUCUAUUCACUGAUCUUCUCACUAAAUCUGGGAUUAUUUGUUAUUGUUGUUGUUGUUGCUAUUGUUCUUUGUGACUGCCUAUUCAUAGGUCUUUUCUUCAUUCCAGGUACACACUCAAAGCCUCCUGAUGUAAUUCUUCAAGUGGAAAUAGAAUGGAAGCCUAGCUUCCUGAUUUGUGUUUACUCAAAUUGUAUAGUUGAUUAGGAAAUAGUGUACGACUGUAGUUUAAUUUAUAAGCUUAUGUAAUUCAUCCUAAUUCAUUUGGUUUGUAUAUGGACUGUAUAAGGACUGGCUCAAAAACUUUGAUUUUGUUAUGGUUUGUAGUAGAGCAGUCAUCUAGUGCAAUGCUAGGUUAAGUCAAGUGAUUUAAAGGUUUUGUAAUUUAUCAAUCAUCAGUAGGGGCUUGGUAACGUGGUAUUUAUUUUACUUCAAUAGCAUAAAAUUGGAAAUCAUGUGUUUAUUCAUGUGAGUUCAUAUAUACCCAGUUCAAAUUAGGAAGUUUUUUUUUUUAUAAUUAAUUUCAUUUUGGAAUCGUUGGUCGUAUGUCUAAAAUUCAGGUUUAUAUAAGUUGUUUUAUGUUAUUUCUCCGAACCCUGUGAGUAUUAGUUGAAUAAUCAGCAUCCUGCUUUCAUAGAUCAAACAUAUAUUUCUAUCGUUAAAAUUUGGCUGGAAAUAAUUGUGCAAGUUUAUAUUUGAAUAAGGAUCUCGAUCCACCAAGGAUCAGGGCUCAACUACUCGUCUAUGGUAAGUUGGGUCUCAACCACGGCUGAUGCACAUGCCAAUUUGUCCUUAACUUACCGAGACU
rnacentral:lncRNA from 1 species